rnacentral:lncRNA from 1 species
AUGGCUGCUCACACCUCCUCUGCCCCCGGACGCAUCCAUACCUCCCUCCACACUAAACCCACACGCUCCAUCACACGCACACGCACUCCCUGCCCACGAAGCAACACAACCCCCGACACAUCCCAGAUGCAUGCACACUCCUGCCCAAGUGUCACACUCCCCGUCUCCCAGGCACACACGCUUCCCACACACACACACACACACACAGAGAGAGAAACAGUCAUCCACUGCCACACACCCCCAAAGAGACCCGCACACUUGGGACCCGCGAGACGCGCCACACCUCACAUGCUUACCACCCUUGAACAUGCUCACACCUACGAUGACACAAGCUCUCUCACACUUCACACCUCACCGGGAAGCUGGCACCGGCUCGCAUCCCCCAAACACUCUGGCUCACUCUUUCUCACACGCACACCUCCUCCGUGGAACCGCCACGCCACUCAAACGCCCCAUCGGCACACUCGCAUCUCUGAAUACACUCCUGCACCCUCUGCGCACACGGCUCCUUCCCGGACACCCUCACCCAUGGACGCAACAAAGGCACAGGCUCGUAGACACACGCACACGCGCGCACACACACACACACUCGCGCGCGCUGGCACAGACCCGCGAGCGCUCGCUCCGGAGGAGACCUCCUCCCUCCCUCCCUCGCUCCCUCGCUCCCUCGCUCCCUCCCUCGCUCGGUCCCCGAGCCCAGCGACCCCGCGGACCCCCGCGCAGGACCGGAGCUCGCCCCCCGAGGCUCUCCGGGGCGCCCCGGGCCUGCGCCCCCGCGCGCGCGCCCCCCACCCCGGGCUCCGGCCGGGUGCCCGCGCACUCACCGCGCGCCAGGUGCAGGAUCGCGGCGAGCAGCAGGCAGGCGCAGCCGCGGGGGCUCGGGGCGGCUCGCAUGGUGCCCGGGCGCGGGCGGCGGUGGCGGGGCGGAGGCGCGGGCGGAGGCGCGGGCGGAGGCGCGGGCGGAGGCGGCGGGUCCCCUCGCCAUGGGCUCAGGCGCGCUCCUGCCGCCGGCCGCCGGCCGAGACGCGGGCGGGCAGCGCCGGGCGCCGCGGGGGCGCCCCCAUGCCGCCGCAGCCGGGCCGCCGGGGCGCCGGGCUCCCCUGGGCUCGGGCUUGGGGCGCCGCGACCCUGCGCUCCGGCCGUGCCCCGGCUCCGGCUCCGGCUCCGGCUCCGGCUCCCCGGCUGCGCGGCCCGGACUCCGCUCGGCGGCAGCGCCGGAGUUUGGAGCCGAAGCGCGCUCUCCGCCCGGCGCCCGCCUCUCCGGGCCGCGCGAGCGCCCCCUCCCCGCGCCCGCCCUCCGCCCCUCCCCCUCUCCCCGCCCCCCGCCCUCCCCUCGCCGCGCUCCCCGCUGUAUUAUACAGACUUUUCUUUAAUCCUUUCUGGGCUGUUCGGCUCUCGUCCGCUAAGCCGAUUUAUUGCAGGGAGAAGGAGAGCUCCCCCCUCCCGCACCCCCUCUCCUUCCCCUCCGGGCUCCCCUCUGCGCAACCCUCCCGCAGCUGCCCUAGCCCCCCUGCCCCCCAGCUCCGGCUCCGU